rnacentral:misc_RNA from 1 species
UGCCAUGUUUCCGUCAUAUGUAGGAACAAAUAUAUCACUUUCCAAGGAAACAAGAUAAUCUAAUGCUGACAUCUGAGAUGAAUGAUUCUGGAAGGACCUAAGUUCUGAAGGUUCCAACAAAGUCUCCUUUCUUACCAAUUUUGGAAAAGCCUUUGCAAGAGCAGCCAUUCUUCUGUCGCCGCCGUAUAUUUCCCCAGCAGCAAUAUAAAUCUGGAUACUGG